GACGAACGCUGGCGGCGUGCUUAACACAUGCAAGUCGAACGAAAAGGCCCUGCUUUUGUGGGGUGCUCGAGUGGCGAACUGGUGAGUAACACGUGAGUAACCUGCCCUUGACUUUGGGAUAACUUCAGGAAACUGGGGCUAAUACCGGAUAGGAGCUCCUGCUGCAUGGUGGGGGUUGGAAAGUUUCGGCGGUUGGGGAUGGACUCGCGGCUUAUCAGCUUGUUGGUGGGGUAGUGGCUUACCAAGGCUUUGACGGGUAGCCGGCCUGAGAGGGUGACCGGCCACAUUGGGACGGAGAUAAGGCCCAGACUCCUACGGGAGGCAGCAGUGGGGAAUAGUGCACAAGGGGCGGAAGCCUGAUGCAGCAACGCCGCGUGCGGGAUGACGGCCUUCGGGUUGUAAACCGAUUUCGCCUGUGACGAAGCGUGAGUGACGGUAAUGGGUAAAGAAGCACCGGCUAACUACGUG
rnacentral:rRNA from 1 species